rnacentral:lncRNA from 1 species
CACUAAUCCACCGGUAAGGAUAGGUAGAGUGACCGGGCGGCACUCGUCGAUUCUCUGACCGAGUCGCAGAGAACCUCGUAACUCGAGUCGCCCCGGACGUUCCAGCACUUCCAUACGUACAGACUCACGCUUCCGUUCGUCAGUCGGUUGGUCUCAAAGUCACGAUACAAUAAGGCCAGAUAGACCUGCGGAACCUUCAGUGCAAGUGUCGAAUGAGGGAUGCAUGUGUAGAUCGCCUAGACGUUUUCGGGACUUCCCACGGAGGUUGAUGGAGGGUGUGCCUUUUCUCGGGCGGUGCGCUGUGUGAAAAUGCAGCUGUGUCUUGACCAGGGUACAAGACGAGAAUACCACUUUGCUGUGCACUUCUCAUCCAAGUUUCUGUUCAACAGUCUCAUACGGUCCCUGGAGUCCUCGUGCUCCAGGACGAGCAUUCAUGUCACAGGUCCAUUUGCACAGACACAGAGCCUGCAUCCGCACGAACGUAAGUGUGCGCAAAUCACCGAGCCACCAAUAGUGGCAAAAAAACCCAAGGAGGGACGAAGGGCAACGGAUAAACGUACCAGAUGCUGCGCGUAUCUGUUCUUUGUGUGCGUUUUCUACUUCCCCUUAAACUUGGGUUUGCGUCGUUCCCUAAACGCCAGCAGCCCUUCGCUCCGAUCCUCGCUCGAGAGGACUCUGUCAUACGCUUUGCCCUCGAGGACAAGCCCCGCUUUCAUACUCACAUCGACUGCGGAAUUUGCCGUUUGCUUGGUGACUCUCACCGAGAGGGGGGCCAACGACGCGAGCCGGCAGGCGAGGCGUAUUCCGACACGAAACGCAUCUUCUCCCUCCCACUCCGCAUCCGGGAUUUCCGUUUCAAACGAACUUUUCUUCUGAUGUGCGGGAAUGGCAUCUGUAGCACUCUCCAGUGCUGCUUCGUGUUGUUGUGGAAGGUCUCGGCUCCCUGAAACAUCGCUGUCGCCCGGCCCUGCGCCGGUUUCUGCCUGGCCUGCGGUGCGCGCCUGCCUACUUUCGAACCGAUUUCUCCUCGCCUCGAGGACAAUCCGCUGCGCAACCUGCUUCUCUUCCGUCUCGUUCCCUCCGCGCGGGAAACCCGGUUCCCCCCUGUCGGCUUUGUGGCGCCUCAGGCCCGGACUGAACCGCCAUAUCUUGCAAACCUCAUCUUCGUUGUGGCCAGCCAUGACGUCGACCAAGCCCCACUGGACAGCUUGCUUCGGUCCAACGUUCCCGCCCGUCAAGAGCAGCAGCUUCGCUUUCUGAGGACCUACUACGCGCCACAGCCUCUGUGUGCCGCCGGCACCGGGCAUCGUGCCCAGAGAAACUUCCGGGAGGCACAACUCGAACCGGCGUCUGGCGACAGGUGCGUCGCCUGCUCGAGAGCCGGCCUCAAGGGGAGGUCCUUCUUCUGAGAUUGUUGGCGAGUAACCCGCGACUUCAGUGACGCCGACUGAGGCUUUUCGCCGUCGUCUUUAGGGUGACAUGGACUGGAAAGAGGGGCAAACAAGUCUCGAGGGGGAAGUGUAGACGGAGGAGGACGCACAGAAGCAACGCGGAAAUCUGCUGCGAGAGCGAGUUCGAGACCACCCCCCAUGACGGCUCCGUGCAGGCACGCUAUUGUUGGAUACGGCACUUCGGAAAGACGCUCGAAACACGAGCUGCGAAAGGGAAAAAGCAAGAUAAAGCAGAACAUGAAAGGAAAGUGACGGCAAAGGCGAUCUUCAGUUCGUCCUAACAUUGACUACUGCACGCAACCAUAGUGUAACAGGAGUCUUGGCGAUGCUUCACACGGGUACUGAGGAACAGGGAGGAAAACGGAGACGAGGUAGGGAAGUUGACGCUGACAGUUUGGCAAUGUCGUGCUCAGAUACAAUGAAGCUCAAGGAAACACCUUUGGCGAGUCCACUAAAAAGCACACACAUGCGGCAUUGUCGUUAUGUGUCUUGUAUGAAUGCGUAACUGUAUACAUCUAAAGGGCGACAGGAGAAGCGUGAAAAAUAUAGGCACCUGCAGUGCGAUUGUCUCCUGCGGCGUUUUGUGCAUCGUAGGCGUGUCAAACAUGCACCCCAUGCCUAUAAUUCCGGGUUUGACUAUUUCGAGUGGCUGCCGGACUACUGGAGUGACCAAGUUCACGAUCAAACAUGCGUCGGGAUGUGCGACCGCUGUCCUCUGCAUUUAUCCUCUUGAGACACACAGAAUUUCAAACGUUCUCACAGAAGAAAUCCACGACCCUCUAUAGCUGCUUACCGUAAGCGAUCGACAAAUUCUCUGCUGGAUUCGCAGGUCAUGCCCACCCUUUCCUUCAAAUCUGCACCACCGCAGAACACUCCGGGGACUGCCGAUCGGAUAAGCAGCGCAUGGAAAUCGGAUUCUUUUUCCGCAUGGGCAUCUACGAGAUUUAAGCACGUUUCAAACUCUUUGAGAACUUCUUGAUUUAUUGCGUUCUUAGCAUCCGGCCUAUUCAACGUAAUCACUGCAAACUGUCCCCCGGAAAUCAGUUCCGCCUCAAUGUACUUGUGAUCAGGCGGUGUUAGCACGACAUAACCCGGUUUUGGGAGAAACCCAGACUUCUGUUCAGGGGAUAUGUCGGGCACGAUGGCGGUAGAUGAAGAACUGGUGAAAAACGAGAGUCCUUCUGACGUGCUUCUGACCUGUGUUGGCACGUUACUCUCAACACAAGGUUCCAUGCGUUUCACCAUUGGGGACAGGACACACUUUGACGCGGCGGCAGACGGGCAUCGGGAAAGAUCCCCUAAAGUCGAAUACACAGGUCUGCUCACAAUGCCCAUUUCUGCUUGUGACAAUGAAGAAAGAGAAGAAAACCCAGCCAGAACCGCGGUAGGUUUCUCUCGCCGAGUCCUCCGCUGACAUGCCUGGCGAAUGGCAGCUGAGCGUGAAAAUGCAUGACGCCACAUCUUCGUUUCUCAGGGAGAGUAACGCUGGAAAAUUCAAGGGAUACCACGACUCUUGUCGGCCGCCAAUAUAAGUGACGCCUCGUACUAUCACGCGCUUAAUGGAGUUUUUGGCAAG